CGAGCGGUAACAUUUCUAGCUUGCUAGAAGAUGACGAGCGGCGGACGGGUGAGUAAUGCUUGGGAAUAUGCCUUUGAGUGGGGGACAACAGUUGGAAACGACUGCUAAUACCGCAUAACGUCUACGGACCAAAGGGGGGGAUCUUCGGACCUCUCGCUCAUUGAUUAGCCCAAGUGAGAUUAGCUAGUUGGUAAGGUAAUGGCUUACCAAGGCGACGAUCUCUAGCUGGUUUGAGAGGAUGAUCAGCCACACUGGGACUGAGACACGGCCCAGACUCCUACGGGAGGCAGCAGUGGGGAAUAUUGCACAAUGGGCGAAAGCCUGAUGCAGCCAUGCCGCGUGUGUGAAGAAGGCCUUCGGGUUGUAAAGCACUUUCAGUUGUGAGGAAAGGUUUGUAGUUAAUAGCUGCAAGCUGUGACGUUAACAACAGAAGAAGCACCGGCUAACUUCGUGCCAGCAGCCGCGGUAAUACGAGGGGUGCAAGCGUUAAUCGGAAUUACUGGGCGUAAAGCGUUCGUAGGCGGUUUGUUAAGCAAGAUGUGAAAGCCCCGGGCUCAACCUGGGAACUGCAUUUUGAACUGGCAAGCUAGAAUACUGUAGAGGGUGGUGGAAUUUCCAGUGUAGCGGUGAAAUGCGUAGAGAUUGGAAGGAACAUCAGUGGCGAAGGCGACCACCUGGACAGAUAUUGACGCUGAGGAACU
rnacentral:rRNA from 1 species